CACAAAAUCCACUGACACAGUGAAAGUGUUUACAUUUUGCAUUAUUUUUCUGAUUCAACCUGAUGAAUGGUGUGUACUCAUUGAAUACAUGUACUGUAUAUGAAAUUAAUGAAGCAGUAAUUUGACAAAUACAAGCAAUGAGACAUUGUUCAUUGAUUAAAAUAUGGAAUAUUUUUCUGGUGUCCUUCACAAAUGAGACAAUUAAUCCUUGAGAUAUAAAAGAAUGCUUCAAGGUCAACAGAAUAUGAUUGAAAUUAUAAAGGCUUGUAAUGUAGUUUCUUAUUAUCAUUAUUAUAAUAUUGACAUGUUGUGAUGUCUUGCACUAAUCAGUGUUUGUUUUGUAUUAUAUUUCAGAUAUAAUAGUAUGAAUAUAGAGGUGAUUAUUUAGUUACCUUCAACUGGUCAGUGGUCAAAAGGGAGUAUGACUGUGUGUCUUGAAGUAUUGAAUGCCCCCAAAACAACCAGUAUGAUAAGAAGGUAUACUAUCUAGGUUGAAAACAGCCAUGGACAAUGAAUUUGGAGGUGCAUGCUGGAGCAUCAGAAAUUACAUACUUGGAAUAAAUAAUUGCACAACACACAUUUACUGAGAAGUGACUAAUGUUUAUGUUAAAGUGCAAUAUCCAUGUUUGUAACAUUUACAUGGGGGUAAUAGUUACAGUGUUGAAAGAGACUACCAGUGUUACAUUUCAAACUAAGUUACAGUGUGGAUGCUAAUUCUAAAUUCUUGAUAAUCAAGUGUUUUUAAUAAUUUAUGAAUACUAAUUAUUUAUCAAACUGUUUAAUUUAUCACAUUCCUACAUCAUUAUUUUAUAUAAAAUGCUUGUAGUUAUAUAAUAUAUGUCAGGUUAAAUGGUAAUAAAUUUUGUUUCUGUGUAAA